ensembl:lncRNA
GCUAACCAAGACCCUCACGUCACCGUGCACGUCCCACGCUGCACCUGGAGGAAGGUGGUGCGCGACUGCCUUCUGGAGGCGGAUAUGAUCAUAAGAACUAGGAGGCCAGAAACAAUUCCAUGACUCCCCUGCCUCCUCCAACCAGCUGCUUGGCACUAUGGUAGUGCUCCUAUCUUUGAAUUCGACGACCUUCCACACCUGUGCCAUCUGUCAAUGAGAAGACAAGGAAUUAGGAUUGGUGAAGAAGAGGGAUGGCAACAUAAUGGUCUUGGUCUGGAAAAAGCACACAUUUUCUGCUGACAUCCCCAAGGAGCUCAACCUCAAGAUCAUCUACCAACGUAUGGACCUGAAAACAGCCUAUUCGAGGAGGGGCAGGGAUAUGUGAAAUGGGAUUCCUUGUACCCAAAUCGUCUGUAGAUGAUGAAGACUGACCAGAGGAUAGCACAAUGUUUUGGACCAGUCCAAUAUCCUGUCCUACUGCUAUGCAGUUGUUCCCAGUCUUUGUUGAAAAUCUGUUGUUGCUACCUUUCUGUACUGUUUGGCAGUACUGAAUUGCAGAGGCAAAGGACCAUCCUGGUGUAUGUCGUACAAAAGGGGUUGCUUACUUGGAGGUGGAGUAACAGUUUGAUGCACCUCUGACAGUCUCUAGACUACAUGUUGUAAUGGUAGUUGAGGCUUUCGCAACAUUUCAGAUGGAAACUGGGUUACCAUCUGAACAAUGCCAGUAAGGGGACUAGGUCGCAGGUGGUGAUCUGUGUCUGACAUUAAAGCAAAGUCUUCGUCUGAUCUAAGCCUGGCAUUUAUUUCAGGAUAUGUCAUUUUAUUUUGCCACACGCCAACUUGAUUGCACUUGUCACACCCAGAGUAGCCAUUGUGGGACUUCAUCUGUUUGACAAAAGCACGUGCUGGAGCAUCACAAAUGAAGGAGCACACCAUCACCUUUAGAGGUUUACCUCUGAAGGUCACUCCAUUCCUCAGUAGCUGGGUAAGGUCAUUGACAAAUUCUUUGAGGUAGUCAUACACACUAGAUGGUUUUCCAGUUCCACAAAACAAACCAAUAAUAAAAGCGUUUUUUGUGUAAUCACAAUCAAGCAUCGCCAGAAUUGGCCAAAACUGAACUUUUGAACUCUUAGAAAUGGGUAAACCGUCGAUGUUGAAUUGUAACCGAAUUGUCUGAAGGCAGCUAUAGGCAAAUGGAUUGAAUUCAAUUUUGAUAAAAUUCCCUUAGCCAAUCCAAAAUGGUGAUAUUCACCACCACCUAAUGCAUGCACAGCUAUUUUCUUUUGAGUGCCAAGAAGUGUCCUGGCAUCUUUAGGCAGCUCAGAGUGGUGUACUCUCAAUAUUGACAGAAGAGCGGUAACUGCAACAAGAGUAAUGCCAAAAGUUGAUGCCCAUUGCAUUAGUUUAGCUUGUAAACUCAUUUCCUCAGGCUCACUUUCAUCAGAGCUGGAUAACCCACUAAAAUCCUCUCUUUCACUGGCAUCACUGUCUGUAGUGUUUUGGCAAGGACUGUUCUCGAAUUCUGAAGUUGUCCCACACAGUGCUAGAUCUGGUAAGCUAGGGGGGGCAUUUUCAGCCUGAUUAACUGUAAUUAAAUGUAAUUGCUG